CCUGGUUGAUCCUGCCAGUAGUCAUAUGCUUGUUUCAAGGAUUAAGCCAUGCAAGUCUCAGAGUAAAUGGAUUGACAGUGGGUCUGCAGACGGCUCAUUAAAUCGGUGGCAAUCUACGCGGGGAAGGUGCCUUAUGGGCCCAGGUGGAUAACAAUGGUAACUCCAUUGCUAAUACAUGUCCGAAAAAUCUUACUUGCAUCAACCUCAUGGAGUAAAAUCUGUGGGGGCAGGGAAGAUACAGUUGACCGAAAUAAGAACCAACGCUAGCAAUAGCAGCGGUGAGUGGAUGAAACAGGUCAACCGAGUGAUAGCACACGACCUCGUGUCGGUGCAAGCCCGCAAGAGCUUCUGCCCUAUCAGCUUUUGACGGUAGUGUAGUGGACUACCGUGGCUGUAACGGGUAACGGGGAAUUAGGGUUCGAUUCCGGAGAGGGAGCCUGAGAAACGGCUACCACAUCUAAGGAUGGCAGCAGGCGCGCAAAUUGCCCAAUAGCAACACUGCUGAGGCAGCGAAGAGAAAUAGCAACUUCUCGUACUUUGUACGAAGGAGAUUGCAAUGGAUGAUAUCUAAACCUGUCAAUGAGUAUCAAUUGGUGGACAAGUCUGGUGCCAGCACCCGCGGUAAUUCCAGCACCAAUAGCGUAUAUUAAUGCUGCUGCUGUUAAAAAGCUCGUAGUUGGAUCCAGAGUACAGGUUGCAAGGCGGCUCAGUUUGGGUAAACCGGCGUACUGCCGGGAUGCACAGGUUGGGGUAAACCCCUUGCACCAAGACCUGUCCUCUAUGAACGGUGGUAAUGGUGCCUUGCAAGUAGCCAUUUCGGUGGUGAAAGCGCCAACGUGUUAACCAUACGCAUACGGGUCGACCACCGAUGUUACUGUGAACAAACCAGCGUGCCCAAAGCAGGCGUCCGCCGUGAAUGAUAAAGCAUGGAAUAACAAGGGAUCGAUUCUCUCGGCUCUUUUUGUUGGUUCUUAACCCGAGAAGGAAUAAUCAAAACGAUGUUCUUAGCAUGUCUCUUUGAGGCGUGUUUAAGUCAUCGCUACACGGGAUCAAUAGGGACUGCCGGGGUCGUACGUACUCCUACGUCAGAGGUGAAAUUCUUAGAUCGUAGGAAGACGAACUUCUGCGAAAGCAUUCGACAAGAAUGUCUUCAUUAAUCAAGAACGAGAGUGUGGGGAUCGAAGAUGAUCAGAUACCGUCGUAGUCCACUACUGUAAACGAUGCCGUCUCAGGAUCGAGGGAUGCUCAACCAUGACUCCCACGGCACUACCCCGAAACGAGAAAUCAAAGAUUAUGGGUUCAGGGGGGAGUACAUUCGCAAGGCUGAAACUUAAAGGAAUUGACGGAAUGACACCACCAGGCGUGGAGUAUGCGGCUUAAUUUGACCCAACACGGGGAAUUUUACUAGGUCAGGACAAUGUAAGGAUUGACAGAUUGAGAGCUCUUUCUCGAUCCAUUGUGUGGUGGUGCAUGGCCGCUCCUGGUUGGUGGAGUGAUUUGUCUGGUUGAUUCCGUUAACGAACGAGAUCUCGACCCUUAAAUAGGUGGCUUGUCGCUUAGACUUUUUCUUCGGAAUUAGUCGAGACGAGCAACUACUUCUUAAGGGGACUGC
rnacentral:rRNA from 1 species